CUGGGGAGAGCUGGAUUUCAACGUGAAAUACACAGAUAUGCAAGUGGCAUGGCUUCGCCUCAGAUGACAGAGGAGACAAGAGGUGAUAUAUGGUAGAUUGGUGUGAGAAAGACCCAGAGGGACUGGCACUCUGCAAGCUUGCACUGUCUGCACUAAAUGUAGAGACAUAUGGUCAAGUGGUCAAGUACAAACUGAAGGCCAUGCAGGUGUUGGCCAUUCAGCACAAAUCCCGGAAGACAAAGGAGAAUCCUGUUAAUAUACGGCUGUGCAACAGUACAGAGCUCUGCUCAUUGAUAAAGAAGAACUGAACAAACGGCCUUAUCGCUGUGAGAAGUCAACAUCCUUCACAAUGUUGCAACAUGGAUAUACUGGAGAAAUGAUAAAGACAGAACCACACUGA